GACAGAGGUGCCAAGCGUUAGGCGGAAUCACUGGGCUUAAAGCGUGUGUAGGCGGAUCGUUAAGUACCUUGUGAAAUCCCACGGCUCAACCGUGGAACUGCUGGGUAUACUGGCGAUCUUGAGCCACCUAGGGGCGAGCGGAACAAGCGGUGGAGCGGUGAAAUGCGUAGAUAUCGCUUGGAACACCAAUGGUGAAAACAGCUCGCUGGGGGCGUGCUGACGCUGAGACACGAAAGCCAGGGGAGCGAACGGG
rnacentral:rRNA from 1 species